rnacentral:lncRNA from 1 species
CUUGUCCGUGCUCGUGACCAUUGAAAUGUGCAAUGCCCUCAACAGCGUCUCGGAGAACCAGUCGCUGCUGCGGAUGCCGCCCUGGAUGAACCCCUGGCUGCUGGUGGCUGUGGCCAUGUCCAUGGCCCUGCACUUCCUCAUCCUGCUCGUGCCGCCCCUGCCUCUCAUUUUCCAGGUGACCCCACUGAGCGGGCGCCAGUGGGUGGUGGUGCUCCAGAUAUCUCUGCCUGUCAUCCUGCUGGAUGAGGCCCUCAAGUACCUGUCCCGGAACCACAUGCACGAAAUGAGCCAGAAGUGAGCGCUGGGAACAGAGUGGAGUCUCCGGUGUGUACCUCAGACUGAUGGUGCCCAUGUGUUCGCCUCCGCCCCCCACCCUUGCCACCACACUCGCCCACUUGCCCACCGGGUCCCGCCGGAUAAAUGACAGGCCCGAGGUCAGAAUGGCCAUCCCCGGGCCCCGUCCUGGGGUCUCUGUCCCCACUUCCUUCUGGCCUGGGAGGUCUGUAAUUCCUGUCUCCUGGACUCUCCUGGGAAGUUCCCUGCUCUGCAGCUCUGGCCCAGGAGCUGCAGGCUGGGAGGGGGCAGCCAAGAAGCCGGAGCUGGCAGCAUACCCAGAGAUCCGGGGCCCCCCCACCCCCAAAUCACGAGUGCAGCUGGAGCUUGCUCCCCCUUGUUCGGAAGCUGGACGUUCACUUGGUGACUGGUGCCUCUGCACUGACGGAGGACUCUGGGGGUCCUUCUUACCGGCUCUGACCUCUCUCUUCGUGCCUGGUCUGGGACUGGGUCAGCCCUGGGGGAUCAGAAGGGGCCAUCUGGGCCCAGCUGUGUACAGCGAGGGUGGGCAGCCCCCUCCACUCCACUCUGCUUCCACAAAGUCGGCUCCCGAGAGCUCGAGGCUGCUUCUGUUUAUAUGUGCAGGGCCCGGGCGGGUGAAGGGUCAGAGAGACGGACACAAGGAGCCGGCAGGAGGGCGGAGCGAGGAUGUCCUUUCCCGGGAGACAAGUCGGGAAAGCCUGGCUGGACUGCCUCAGCCCCGCGCGCCUCCUGGACUCAGGGUUCCCCGUCCUGAGCUCGGGAGAUGUUCAGAGUCACACUGCCGCCCGGUCUGCCACGCAGAGGUCCAACUUGCCACCCGCGUCCCUGGUACCUGAGACCACCGACAUCCUCAGGUUCCUGACCGUGGCGCCCUUCUACCCAGCCCAGUGUGCGGCCGCCGCGCUGUCUGCACAGCUGGGGGCCUCUGAGCCUGGUGGGCUUCCUGGACUCUUGGCCUCACUCCUUGCCCCCUCCCCACGACACCCAUGAGCCGAAAGGAUGUCACUAAGGAUGGCUGAUUCCCCAAGGGCACCCGCUCUCCCUCCCUCCCUGCUGGAGGAACACGUCAUAUCAGAUGAGAGGAAGAUGGCCUCUGAUGGACAGAAUUUUUCUCUUAACUCAGCUUUUGCUACUUUGGCAAAAACUAGCGAGGGGUAGCAGAAACCUGCACCAAGGAUUGUCCCUAUGUCUUGGCCACUCCUAGAGCGUGUGCAGACUGAUGAUUUUAUAUGUAAAUCAAGACUCACAUCCCUUUCCUAGUCCCCCACAUCCAAAGCCCCUCAGCCUGCCUUGCAGACCAAUGGGCUCCAUGUUCUGUAGCCCCCUCCCCUACGCCUCACCCCUCCUCCCUCUCACAGGUUCUGGGCGGCCAGUGAGAGAAACGCAGUGGGGGAGGCAGGGAGUCUGGUGCCUGCAGAGAUUCUCUGCUUCUUUCCUGGGGGGAGGUGGGGAGGUCUUAGCAGGAGCGGGCCCUGUACCCACCUGCUGACCUGCUGUUUGGUAGAGAAAUAAAGGUUGUGUGACUGGGG